rnacentral:rRNA from 1 species
GACGUAGGGCGCGAGCGUUGUCCGGAUUUAUUGGGCGUAAAGAGCUCGUAGGCGGUUUGUCGCGUCGUCCGUGAAAACUUGGGGCUCAACCUAAGCUUGCGGGCGAUACGGGCAGGCUAGAGUUCGGUAGGGGAGACUGGAAUUCCUGGUGUAGCGGUGAAAUGCGCAGAUAUCAGGAGGAACACCGGUGGCGAAGGCGGGUCUCUGGGCCGAUACUGACGCUGAGGAGCGAAAGCGUGGGGAGCGAACAGG